ACCAUCGUGAACGCGCUUCCUUUUCUUUUCCGGCAGGGAAAUCGCCUUUGCGAGGUUCUUUUGUCAGGAGCAACGGAAGGCCGAUUCGGGCGUGGAGAGGAGGACGAAACGCUAAAGAGGCUGGUGUCCCUUGCUGUGUAUUUCCCCAAAGGGGGGGAGUGAGAUCUCUUGGAUCCAGGCCAAAGAGCUCUGUCCAAAGAAGUCAUGUGGGAGUAUUAUGAGAAUGUGGCCUCUCUGGGAUUCAAAGAGAGAAUUCUCCACAUUCCACAAAAAUAGUUGGGCCUGCUUUGAGAACUGAUAUACACAGGAUGAGAGAGCUGUGGCCCUCCAGAUGUUGCUUCCAUCAGCCCUGACGAUUGACUGUGCUUCCUCGUACUGACAGGAGCAGGUCAUGAGAAGGACAAUGAGAGAUAUAUGGAGCCAUCUGAGGAGUCAUCUGAAACAGUCAAGCAUGAAGUGGGAAAAGAGACAUUUGGAGAUCAUAAGGAAUCAGAAAGAUAGGACAGAAAGCAGUCAAAUAUUUGGAGGAAGAAAUACUCUGCAUCUCUGUGUUCAGAACUCCAUGAACUUCCACAAGAUCCCAAAAGAAAGAGA